ACAGAGCUCCGUUCCUGAACCGUGUUCUGACAGAAGCCGACAGUGUUUUCUUGAAGAUGUAUAUUUUAAACUCUUUUCUGCAGCAUUUGCUUACACUAGGACCAUCUGCUCGGCUUCUCUUACCAGACUGUGGCCAUUAGGUGAGGCUACUGUUUCCUGAAGUUGUGGAUACUUGUUGCCACGUGAUGUCACCUGGGAACUGAAGGAGCAGGAUUCCAGGUGAUGCCUGGUCCAUAGAGGAUCCCAUGACAACAGAAGAGCGGGAUGCUUUGUCAUUAGAAACAGAUGUUGUAUGGCCUGAACCACGGCCUGGAUCUGCUGUAGGAUACUUUCUUCUCUUUGGGGACACUCAAAGCUAGAAGCCAUCAAAUGACUCAGGACAACAUCGCCAUAUAUAUCUCACUCACACAGCUGCUGCGGUUAGAGUUAAAAUUCAGUUGAUUCUGCAAAGGUCUGUAGCUGCCCUCCAGUACAGAACAGGCUUUUCUAAAACAGGCGAAUUUAAUAGGGAUCUGCAAGGAGGUUCCGCGUCUUUUAAUUGCUUGAGAAUGAGGUUCAAUUUUGUCGUUUCCCGUGACUCAUCUUUAUUGCCUGAGAGGUAGCCUCCUCUACCUAUUCUUGCUCACACGCAAGUGAACACAUUUCUGAAUGUGUAUGUCCGUUUUCAUAACAAUUGGUAGACGAGGGAAAUGGCCAAUGGGUCCUAGCGUGAGCUGUGUCUGGGGAGAGGCUCCCGUUUACUCCCUGGCCUGCAUGUGUCCUACUUGUUUGGAGGUGGGUCCAGCUCUCAUAGUGUCCUGCCUAGACCCUGGCCCUCCCACAAGUUGAGAGUGGGUGCUGUAGUUUAGCAAUGGCAGGAAGGAAUGCCAUACAACCAAACUCACAUGGGAGGUUUACUGGAGGGGAG